rnacentral:rRNA from 1 species
AUACGUAGGGUGCGAGCGUUGUCCGGAAUUACUGGGCGUAAAGAGCUCGUAGGUGUUUUUCGCGUCGGCUGUGAAAUUCCGGGGCUUAAAUCCGGGCGUGCCGGCGAAUAGGGCAUAACUUGAGUACUUGAGGGGAGACUGGAAUUUCUGGGGUAGCGGUGAAAUGCGCAGAUAUUAGGAGGAACCCCGGUGGCGAAGGCGGGUCUCUGGGCAGUAACUGACGCUGAGGAGCGAAAGCAUGGGUAGCGAACAGGAUUAGAUACCCUGGUAGUCCAUGCCGUAAACGGUGGGCGCUAGGUGUAGGGGUCUUCCACGACUUCUGUGCCGUAGCUAACGCAUUAAGCGCCCCGCCUGGGGAGUACGGCCGCAAGGCUAAAACUCAAAGGAAUUGACGGGG